CUACGGGAUGCAGCAGUGGGGAAUAUUGCACAAUGGAGGAAACUCUGAUGCAGCAACGCCGCGUGGAGGAUGACACUUUUCGGAGCGUAAACUCCUUUUAUAUAGGAGGAAGAUGACGGUACUAUAUGAAUAAGCGCCGGCUAACUCCGUGCCAGCAGCCGCGGUAAUACGGAGGGCGCAAGCGUUACUCGGAAUCACUGGGCGUAAAGAGCGUGUAGGCGGAUUAAAAAGUCAGAAGUGAAAUCCUAUAGCUUAACUAUAGAACUGCUUCUGAAACUCUUAAUCUAGAAUAUGGGAGAGGUAGAUGGAAUUUCUGGUGUAGGGGUAAAAUCCGUAGAGAUCAGAAGGAAUACCGAUUGCGAAGGCGAUCUCCUGGAACAUUACUGACGCUAAGGCGUGAAAGCGUGGGGAGCAAACAGGAUUAGAUACCCGUGUAGUC
rnacentral:rRNA from 1 species